UCAUUCUCCAAGGAAAUAGAAGAGGCAAUCCAAAAAUUCAUACAGAACAAUAAAAGAGUCUAAAUAGGCAAAAACAAUCCGUAACAGAAAGAUCAGUGCUGGAUGAAUAUCAAUACCAAAUUUCAAACUCUACUACAAAGCCAUAGUAAUCAAAACAGCUUUGUACUGGCACAAGAACAGAC